UACGGGGGGGGCAAGCGUUGUUCGGAAUUACUGGGCGUAAAGGGUUCGUAGGUGGCCAACUAAGUCAGACGUGAAAUCCCUCAGCUUAACUGGGGAACUGCGUCUGAUACUGGUUGGCUUGAGUGCAGGAGAGGAACGCGGAAUUCCAGGUGUAGCGGUGAAAUGCGUAGAUAUCGGGAGGAACACCGGUGGCGAAGGCGGUUCUCUGGGCCUGACCUGACGCUGAGGAGCGAAAGCGUGGGGAGCGAACAGG
rnacentral:rRNA from 1 species